GGGAACACUAAAAUACAAAUAAAUGUUAGAACUGGGACAACAUAUUUCCCGUCUUUAUAUAAGAUGAGGUUGUCCUUAUUGUACUUAAUGCCAAAGAGAAGAAUACUUGAUGGCCUGAAAUCUUAAAAAGAAAUCAUUCUUCUGAGAUGAGUCAUCAUCAGCUGAAUGUUCCCACAUGGUUGCCAGUUUUUACUUCUUCUGGGGUUAGAAGAACCAUUUUGUUUCUUAGUAAUUCAUGUGGAACUGCUUGUUUUGUACAGAGUCCAAUAAUACUCUGAAGCUUUGGUCAUUCACCCAUCUCAUAAGAAUAACUUAGACAGCUGCAAAAGGUGUUGAAAAGGGCAGCCAAAAUAAUCAAGGAGCUGGAGCACCUUUCUUCUGUGGAAGGACUAAAAUAUUUGGAUAUUUUAAAGUUUAGAGAAAAAAAACUAAUGGUGGGGAGAUGAGAUUUAUAAAACAGUGCAUAAUGAGAAUAAAAGGCACAUUCUUCCACUCAGGUGGAAUAUUUAAACACAAGGCAAACACAAUGAAGUUUAUGGGCCAUAUAUUGAGACAGGCAAAUAGCAACAACAACACCAUACAUAUUUGUAUGCCAUGCCAAAUCACAAUUAUCAGGAUUCUGGCUUAGCAGAAAACAAGGACUAAGUUAACACAUGAUAUUUAUUCCUACCAUGUCUUCCAAUCGACAACUUAGGAAGAAAACUAUAGACAAUUGGAGGCUUGUUUACAACUACAGAAGUCAGAGUGAUGUCAUAUGCAUCAUUUGCUUGUGCAAAUGAAAUUGUAAUUCCUCACUGAUGUUUCUUGCUUGUCCUUACAAAUUUGUUUACUCUGUCAAUAGUAUCCAGCACUUGUUCCACUUGAAACAAGUCAGGGAAAGCAUCUAUACCAGGGGUGUCAAACUGGUGGCUCGUGGGCUGGAUGCAUCUCGUGCAGACUACGCCUAUCCCAGCUUCGCGAAUGGGAAAAAUGUCAUGAAACGUCAUGUGAUAGCAAUGUGACGCGAAAGAAAUCUGUUCAAGGAGAAAGCAGGUGAUGGAAGGAGUUAUCAACUUGUCCAAAUGAUGGCAGGCUGCACAUGCCAGGAAAGGUAUUAUUUCAGGAUAUCACUUUAUCUCUCCCUUACAAUAGCUAUAAUUAGAAUGAUUUGGUUGUUACCAGUUUAAAUAUAUAAAUUAUGGUGUCUGUUUUUAUAUUUGUCAUUAUUGGAUUGUUGAAUGUCUCCCAGAGUCACAUUUUUUACAAUUUAUGUAUACAAUUAAACAAAUCCAAACUUUAAGAUGCCUUAUGAAUCAAUCUUCAGCACUGGUACUGAUGAAAUCUUGUAGUGUGUACAACUUUUCCUAUCUGUUAAACAAACAUUCAUGCUAUUUAUUCUUCACAAGAUCUUUUGAAGUUGUGCCUAUCAGUUGCAAUCAACUUUAGAUAUCUUUGCAGAUGCUCCCCAUGUUUUGAGGCAGUGAAAUUUGAAUAUGCCAGAUGCUAGUACAUUCUGGCUGGGAUCUAAAAAAACCACAUGAAACACUUUGUGAAAACUGAGGCAAUUCUACCCCCGUUUCCCUUUGCAAUGCUUGAAAUGCCUGAAUGCUAUUUUCUAUCUAUCUGUGAAAAAUAUGGACCACAAAAUUGGUCUCUCAGAAAUCAAUGUCUUGCAAAGCAUUCUCUCAGCAAAUAGUUAGACUAGAUAACAACAGCAACAAUAAAAACUUUGAAUGCAAAGCUCCUAUGAGUCGGAAGACCAAGCUUUAUGAUUAGUAGUAUGAUCUUACCUUAUGAUCACAGGUAAAAGUCACUAUUACAUUUUUUCAAAAUUCUAAGAUUGGCAAUAUCAGUUUUUGUUGAAGGGUUAUUUUUCGCUCCAGUGGCAUAACUGAAAUGCUUUUGCUACUUAGAAAGAAUAACUUUCUUGAAAUUAUAAUUCUUUGCCUAAUCUCAAGAUUGUUUUAAAAAAUUCAACAGAUUACAGACAAAACCUAAACAUAUAGUGCUAAAUAUAAAACAAUGCUUCCCAGCAUGAUGCUGUUAGGUCAAUCUAUUAAAACAUGUGGUCUUUUCUUUGUAAUAUUACUUUCACUUCUCCCUAGCAAUUUUCAGUUGCAAGCAUGCAAAGGUUUAACAAGUUCUAGAAACAUUUCUUUUUUUUGCUGCAUUAACUUUAACAUGCAUUUUAAGAUUUAAAUUGACCUAACUAUUGGCUACUUUUCAUUUUCUUAGCUGUAAUGCAAACUUUGAAUCUUAUAUUCAGGUUUCCUUUAAUUCAACUAAAUAAAGAGCUGAACUUUCUCUUAGAACAUUAUUUAUCAUGAUCAUAUUUCAGCUAAAAUGUGAAACAGAUUGCAUUAUAGUCAGUGGCACCUCAACUACAGCAUAUGCUCUGAAUCAACUUUUCCCAUCAAUACAUUAUAUUAUUGUAAAUCAUGUCAGAUUGAUUUUGGAGUAAGAUGUUUGAUUUUUUUGAAGUAAGAUCAUAUUUACUAUUUAAUUGUUCAUUCAUGAGAUUUUCCUGCACAAUGAUUCCUGCACUGACCUAUUUAUGUCUAAAAGUUUCCCUUUUUAAUUUAUAGUUCAGUGUACUGCUCAUAUAGAAGAUAAAUGCAUGCAUGAUGAUGCUUAUAUCAGCUGUUGUUGUAAGUUUGGAUCCAGUUAAAAUAAAUUUAGGUCCCUAGCUGAGGACCUCUGAAGUAGAGCUCUUGAUCAACUUUCUAGGAACUUCUUCCUGCAGUGUUUUGUUGGUCUGCUGCAGCUGUGUCAGAUUCAUGGAUAUGGAUAAAACACUGAGAUACACAUGUAGGCUUUCUGUAUAGUGUAGAUAGAAAGUUACUCACCACAGUUCCACUUAUAGUUCAAGCCUUAAAACAAAACAUUACUGAUUAGCUAGCACUAUUGCUAUCUGUCUGAAAGGGGCUAAAUAAGU